CGAGGAGAGCGUCAACGUUGGGAUGGGCGAAUGUAUUAGAUUUUGGAGUGGGGAGUGAAGAUGAGGAUUGCGAUCUCAGCACCGCAGAGAAUGGACAGCUCGGCGGCCUUGUUGAAAAGUCCGACGCGGCGUUUCGAGAAGUUUCAGAGAGAGAGAGAGAGAGUUGACCGUUGAAUUUCAGAGAGGGAGCGUCGGACAUACUUUCCGGCCAACGCUCCAGCGGUUUUUAUAGGCGCCAGCGUGGCUACAUUAAUUGAUUAAUUAAAAUUAAGGUUAAAUUAUUAUUAAUUAAUAUCUCUAAACUUUUAACUUUGUGUCCAAGCUAAUUGAAUCAAAGUUUAAUUUUUAAAACUAAAUGUUUAAAGGUCAAUUUCAUGCAAACCUUCGGGACCGAAUAUCAACCAUUGACAUAAGUUUGAAGAUUCAUUUUUAUCAUUAAAUGUCUGGAAAUCCAAUGUCUACCCAAUUAUGUAAUGUGGGUCUAAUUUUAACAUUUACAUACAUUUUAGGGUUCAAUUUUUAUAAUUAAAGGGUUGGCGAUGUCAUCGUAACUACCAUCAUACUCCAUGGUUAGUUUUUUCAUUUUGUUCAAAUUAAAAAAAAAAAAAAAAAAAAAAAAAAAAAAAAAACACAUAGUAUUUUAUAUUCCAGGAUGGAUCACCUUCAUCACUAGACUUACUUGACUUGGCACAAACAGGUCCAAGCUUAAGUUGUAUCCAUGGAUAUAUUAUAAAUACAUGCAAGUCAAUCAUUCAUGAGUUAUUAUUAUUCAUAAUUACAUUUGGGUCAAAAUUUUAUUUUACCCAUUUAAUUAAAUUUGAUAUCUCAUGUACCACUAAUUUUUCUAAUGGACAAUCGGCUUACAAUGCUGAUCCAAUAAUAAAUAAAUUCUCUCUCGAAUCAAUAAGAGGGUGGGCCUCAUUAUUCAAAUCUUAAAAUCAACAUUUAAGAAAAUUAUUCAUUUAUUUAUUCAAUAGGGAAGGUAUGAGUUUCAUUUGAUAGGAUUAUGUUUUCAACUUCGUAUUUUAAAAAAAAAAAAAACUACACAAUUGCAAUCAAAGGUCCAAAAUCCAAAUACUAUGCAAGGGAUUGUUCUUUUAGUUAAUACAAUUUCGAGUAUAACUCAAUUAGUAAAAGAUCAACCGUUCAAAUCCUUCUACUCCCAAUCUAAAAUAAAAAUAAAUAAAUAAAAAUGGCUGAAAUAAAUUUUCAAUCUUGCUUCAAAUUUUGUUGAAAUAAAAAGUUUGUGCAGCAAUUGGAAGACCACUUUCUUAUGUAAUUUAUUUUUAGUGCCUCAAAUAAAUAUUCUUAUUAUCCACUAAUUUAUUAAUUUUGACUAAUACAAAGAUCAUAUACGAAACAAGUGUAAAUUAAAUUCUCACCCCUUAUGAUUUUUGUAGAAGAAAGGAAAAAGAAUCUUGCAUCUUUCUGAUUGCUCCCUAAAAUUAACACAACUUCCAAUUUCAAACGUGCACUCGUCGAAAAAUGAAAAAUUAAAGUAAUAAAUAAUAAAAAUUUAGUACUUUUUUGCGCAAAUACAAUUACCCGAACCUAAAACUUGUGUUCAAGAGAUAAUUGUUCGUGAAUUGAUACCUUCGAUGAUCACAUCUCCAGGUCAUGUGCCCAUCUAUUUUUUUAUUCAAUUGUAUUCAUAUUCUCAUAAAUUUGGAAGACCCUUUCAUAUAUUGUAUUUUUGUUUCUCCCUCUCAACUUUCUUUUCUAAAUCUUCCAACUUUAAUACAUGUUUUAGAUUAAUUAUUCUGCUGUUAAUUAAAACAUUUGGGAUUACUUCAUUUUUCAAUUUCCAAUAAAUCCUCACUUCUAAUAUAUUUGAACUUUAGAUAUCCUAGUUAUAAGUAGUACAUAGAAAAUAAAUAAUAAAUACUUAAAUCCCACUAAAAACUUGAGGAGAAACACUCUUCCACACCAAUAUUGAUCAAAUUCUAAUAAAAUAUAACUCUUAGAGAUUUGAGAUCAAACAUCUUCACUCCCAUAUAGCAGCCAAAUCUUUCAAGUACUAUACUCCAUAAUACAUCAUAACUUUCUUAAUAUAAUUCCAAUAUUCCCCACUCAAUAAAACCUCAAUAAACCAAUAGAAAAUCAAAUUUUCUUUUAAGAAAUUAAAAAGAAAAAACAGCACAUAAUUAAAAAUUAAACUAGUUGUCC